UGGCCUUGAACUCAUAGAGAUCCGCUUGCCU
rnacentral:piRNA from 1 species